rnacentral:rRNA from 1 species
AUUGAACGCUGGCGGCAGGCCUAACACAUGCAAGUCGAGCGGAUGAAGGGAGCUUGCUCCUGGAUUCAGCGGCGGACGGGUGAGUAAUGCCUAGGAAUCUGCCUGGUAGUGGGGGAUAACGUCCGGAAACGGGCGCUAAUACCGCAUACGUCCUGAGGGAGAAAGUGGGGGAGCUUCGGACCUCACGCUAUCAGAUGAGCCUAGGUCGGAUUAGCUAGUUGGUGGGGUAAAGGCCUACCAAGGCGACGAUCCGUAACUGGUCUGAGAGGCUGAUCAGUCACACGGGAACUGAGACACGGUCCAGACUCCUACGGGAGGCAGCAGUGGGGAAUAUUGGACAAUGGGCGAAAGCCUGAUCCAGCCAUGCCGCGUGUGUGAAGAAGGUCUUCGGAUUGUAAAGCACUUUAAGUUGGGAGGAGCGGCAGUAAGUUAAUACCUUGCUGUUUUGACGUUACCAACAGAAUAAGCACCGGCUAACUUCGUG